CUACGGGGUGCUGCAGUGAGGAAUAUUGCACAAUGGGGGGAACCCUGAUGCAGCAACGCCGCGUGGAGGAUGACGCAUUUCGGUGUGUAAACUCCUUUUAUAUGUCAAGAAAAUGACGGUAGCAUAUGAAUAAGCACCGGCUAACUCCGUGCCAGCAGCCGCGGUAAUACGGAGGGUGCAAGCGUUACUCGGAAUCACUGGGCGUAAAGGACGUGUAGGCGGGUUGGAAAGUCAGGUGUGAAAUCCUACAGCUUAACUGGAGAACUGCACUUGAAACUUCUAAUCUAGAGUAUGGGAGGGGGAGAUGGAAUUAGUGGUGUAGGGGUAAAAUCCGUAGAUAUCACUAGGAAUACCUAAAGCGAAGGCGAUCUCCUGGAACAUUACUGACGCUAAGGCGUGAAAGCGUGGGGAGCAAACAGGAUUAGAUACCCCAGUAGUC
rnacentral:rRNA from 1 species